rnacentral:rRNA from 1 species
UACAGAGGGCUCGAGCGUUAGUCGGAGUCACUGGGCUUAAAGGGUGCGUAGGCGGCUCGCCAAGUGCUUUGUGAAAUCCCACAGCUCAACUGUGGAACAGCAGGGCAAACUGGCGAGCUUGAAGCAGGUAGGGGCUGGAAGAACAGUUGGUGGAGCGGUGAAAUGCGUAGAUAUCAACUGGAAUGCCGAUGGGGAAGCCGUCCAGCUGGGCCUGUCUUGACGCUGAGGCACGAAAGCGUGGGGAGCAAACAGG